rnacentral:rRNA from 1 species
GAUUAUCAACUUUCGAUGGUAGGAUAGAGGCCUACCAUGGUGGUAACGGGUAACGGGGUGUUAGGGCACGACACGGAGAGGGAGCUGAGAAACGGCUACCACAUCCAAGGAUGGCAGCAGGCGCGCAAAUUACCCAAUCCCGACACGGGGAGGUAGUGACAAUAAAUAACAAUACGGGGUUCUUUCGGAUUUCGUAAUUGGAAUGAGUACAAUUUAAAUCUCUUAACGAGGAACAAUUGGAGGGCAAGUCUGGUGCCAGCAGCCGCGGUAAUUCCAGCUCCAAUAGCGUAUAUUAAAGUUGCUGCAGUUAAAAAGCUCGUAGUUGAAUUUCGGGAUCAAUAUGUUGGUCGUGCCUCGGUACGUACUAGCUUAUUGGUUUCUCCCUUCUGACGAACCAUGAUGUCAUUUAUUUGGUGUUAUGAGGAAUCAGGACUGUUACUUUGAAAAAAUUAGAGUGUUUGAAGCAGGCUCACGCUUGAAUACAUUAGCAUGGAAUAAUGAAAUAGGACGUUUGAUUCUAUUUUGUUGGUUUCUAGGAUCGACGUAAUGAUUAAUAGGGAUAGUUGGGGGCAUUAGUAUUCAAUUGUCAGAGGUGAAAUUCUUGGAUUUAUUGAAGACUAACUACUGCGAAAGCAUUUGCCAAGGAUGUUUUCAUUAAUCAAGAACGAAAGUUAGGGGAUCGAAGACGAUCAGAUACCGUCGUAGUCUUAACCAUAAACUAUGCCGACUAGGGAUCGGAUGAUGUUAAUUUUUAAUGACUCAUUCGGCGCCUUACGGGAAACCAAAGUGUUUGGGUU